UACGUAGGGGGCCAGCGUUGCUCGGAAUUACUGGGCGUAAAGGGUUCGUAGGCGGUGUGGCAAGUCGGGCGUGAAAUCUCUGGGCUCAACUCAGAGGCUGCUUCCGAAACUGCCAUGCUUGAGUGCGGGAGAGGCGAGUGGAAUUACAGGUGUAGCGGUGAAAUGCGUAGAUAUCUGUAGGAACACCCGUGGCGAAGGCGGCUCGCUGGACCGCAACUGACGCUGAGGAACGAAAGCGUGGGGAGCGAACAGG
rnacentral:rRNA from 1 species